rnacentral:rRNA from 1 species
UACGUAGGCAGCGAGCGUUGUUCGGAAUUAUUGGGCGUAAAGAGCGCGCAGGCGGUAUGACAAGUCAGAUGUGAAAGAGGCCGGCUUAACCGGCAAGGGUCAUUUGAAACUGUCAGACUAGAGUGCAGCAGAGGAUAGUGGAAUUCCCGGUGUAGUGGUGAAAUGCGUAGAUAUCGGGAGGAACACCAGUGGCGAAGGCGACUAUCUGGGCUGCAACUGACGCUGAGGCGCGAAGGCUAGGGUAGCAAACAGG